UACGUAGGAGGCAAGCGUUGUCCGGAAUUACUGGGUGUAAAGCGCGUGUAGGUGGUGGGCCAAGUCUGUGGUGAAAUCGCCCGGCUCAACUGGGCGGGGUCCGUGGAAACUGGUCGACUGGAGGACGGUAGAGGCGAGUGGAAUUCCCCGGUGUAGUGGUGAAAUGCGUAGAUAUCGGGAGGAACACCUGAGGCGAAGGCGGGCUACUGGGCCGAUACUGACGCUGAUGCGCGAAAAGCCAGGGGAGCGAACGGG
rnacentral:rRNA from 1 species